UGGGGAAUAUUGGACAAUGGGGGCAACCCUGAUCCAGCGAUGCCGCGUGUGUGAAGAAGGCCUGCGGGUUGUAAAGCACUUUAGUUGGGGAGGAAAGGUAUGUACUGCAUAAGUGCAUGCUGUGACGUUACCCAAAGAAUAAGCACCGGCAAACUCUGUGCCAGCAGCCGCGGUAAUACAGAGGGUGCAAGCGUUAAUCGGACUUACUGGGCGUAAAGGGCGCGUAGGCGGCAAUUCAGGUCAUCUGUGAAAUCUCCGGGCUUAACUCGGAACGGUCAGAUGAUACUGCUUUGCUAGAGUGCAGAAGGGGCAAUCGGAAUUCUUGGUGUAGCGGUGAAAUGCGUAGAUAUCAAGAGGAACACCUGAGGUGAAGACGGGUUGCUGGGCUGACACUGACGCUGAGGCGCGAAAGCCAGGGGAGCAAACGGGAUUAGAUACCCUAGUAGUCCCUGAGCGGGCUGGCAAGGCGCAU
rnacentral:rRNA from 1 species